UACGUAGGUCCCGAGCGUUGUCCGGAUUUAUUGGGCGUAAAGCGAGCGCAGGUGGUUUAUUAAGUCUGGUGUAAAAGGCAGUGGCUCAACCAUUGUAUGCAUUGGAAACUGGUAGACUUGAGUGCAGGAGAGGAGAGUGGAAUUCCAUGUGUAGCGGCGAAAUGCGUAGAUAUAUGGAGGAACACCGGUGGCGAAAGCGGCUCUCUGGCCUGUAACUGACACUGAGGCUCGAAAGCGUGGGGAACAAACAGG
rnacentral:rRNA from 1 species